UUUGAAUUUCGAAAUCAAUUGGGCUAAAUCCACAAACCCUACCCUUCUAAAUACUCUAUGGCGUGGGCAGUUCAAAAGGUUCUGCGAUGGUGUGAUUGUGAGUAGUGGAAGCGAAGGGUUAGAGUUUAUGGUCAAGCUAAGCGUAAUUGAACUUUGAUCUGAUUUUUUUUCGCGGCUGGCUGCAGAAUUUUAACGCAAUUUCGAAAAUUGAAACGGUUGGCGCAAUUUCGAAAAAUUGUAACUGCUGUUCUGGAGCAGAGAUGGAUGAUCAACCUGCGUUUGAUGAGCAUGGUUUUUUCGAUCCCUCAGCCAUAAUUGGAGAUGAGUAUCACCAAGGCCGAGACCUGUUGUUUGGCCUUGACGACACUGUGUCAAAUUCAUCUAAAAUGCCAGAACCUUAUAUUCCAAGCCAGCUUGUCGAUCUUGACGAUCUAAUCCCAUGUGAAAUGCAAGUUAUCGAUGUUCCUGUUACCACCCCAGAUUCGAGCAUUGAUCUGUCCAAGACCAAUCCUUUGGUUAAUCUUGGUGGAAAUCUGUCGAUGCCUACAGCCGAGAAAAAUGCCCCGAAUCAAAUCGGGGAAGGCAGGGACAAAGUUAAAAUCCCAAUAUGUCCGCAAGAUAAUAGCAGCGAAUCUAAUGGCGUCUUGUGGGGCAGUAACGAAGAACUGAUGAACGUGCUGUCCUUACCCGUUAGUAGCUACAGCUUACUUUACGAAUACAAUUUGUUUCAAGAUUUUGAGGUAUCUAAAUCCACUCCAAAAAACUCGGUUCGGAAAGAACUGCAAAGUUUCCCAACCAAUGUUAAAGUUUUACUCCAGACCGGUAUCUUCAACGAGAUACUUGUCCGGUAUGUUUCUUCGUCAGUUGAGCUUCCAGGGGUGAUUUCGGAACAGGGCUAUAUUUGCGGAUGCAAUUCUUGUAACUUCUCUAAAAUUCUCAAUGCUUAUGAAUUCGAGCGCCAUGCCGGCUGCAAGACGAGUCAUCCCAACGAUCGCAUACGAUUAGAGAAUGGCAAGAGCAUGCAUCAAAUCGUUCAGGAACUCAAAUCCAUCCCGCGGGAAAUGCUGUUUGAUGCCAUUCAGAUUGUCGCGGGCUGUCCCAUUAAUCAAGAGGCGUUUCGAGCUUGGAAAGAUUCGUUCCAUGGCCUCCUCAGUUGAAGUGAAGAUCCUACAGAAUUGUUCUAAGGUUUGUCACAAGAAUAUUCACGCAAUUUCGAAAAAAGUGUAACCGCAGUUGUUGUUAGAUAUGGAUAGAGGAGGAUCUUCCAACCUGGAAGAUAAUGAUCGAUUUCUGUUCUAUGAGCAUGGUUUUUUCAAACAUUUUUCUACGAUUGGAGAUGAGCGUGGCCACGCCCAAGAAUGGUUUUUUGGUGGUAAUAACACAAGGCCGUAUACGUAUAAAAUGCCGGAGCCUUACAUUCAAAAGAGUGUCUCAGAAUCGCAGGGCGAAAGUUCUAUCCCUGAAGCUGCUGCCGUCACUCCCAAGAAUUCAAACAAGCUUAUUGAUUUUGAUGAUUUACUUCGAUAUGAAAUGCAGCCUGCAUCCAAGGCUGAUGGUCCCGACAACGAAGAUCCCAAAUCAAACGAAGAAGUGAUAAGAAUAUGGCGGAUCAAAGUAGAAAAGGCAAUGAAAGAUAUGGCAUCCGGAGGACGGCUACAAAGAAGUGAUCGAUGGGUGCGCUUUCUUACUGAUUAAAAAGCUAUAGCUUACAUAAAUAAGAGUAAUAGAUGAGGACAACGACGACGACGACACUCAAUGGUUAUCCACUCAUCUAUACGUUUUGAGAAUAAUGGCGUCGAAUACUUCAGGAAAUGCUGUUUGAUGCUUCCAACGGCGACAUGGAUCGAGAGUUGUUUUGUGCUUCGACAGGUUAGUCCUAUUCCUUGUCUCGAAUUUUUCUUUUUUCUGGUUUUUCUCCAAUCUUGUAGCUGGUUAAUGAAUAAUAACUAGAAGGAUGUUAUGCUGUCAUAAGAAAUAUAAGUAUGAAUUUUUAGAACAUGUUACUUUUGAAAAAAUGACUAUUAGUUUAAAUAGUCGAUUCUUGAUAAUUUGACUGUUAAGUAAUUAUAAUUGGGAUUAUAGUAACUAUCGAAAAUAGGAUUGGAUGUGACAAUGGUGUUCGAUCACUUGAACCGCAAUCUCUUCGGUAAUCAGAAUCGGAUGUUGAUGUCAAGUGGCCAUUAGAAAUAACAUUGACGAGUGAUUGUAGAAACAGUUAGAAUUGCCGUAGUUUGGUCAUUAGAAUACGAAUUAUAUUGUAGAACAUACAUACACACGAUGUGUUCGGGGAAAAGAG